rnacentral:tRNA from 1 species
CAUAAAUAAGCUUAUAUAGCAAUUCAGUUACAUUGAAUAGGUAUUGUUUAAAACAUUAUUUUUGA